UAAUGGGAAAAUUGCUCUGAAUUCC
rnacentral:piRNA from 1 species